rnacentral:rRNA from 1 species
UCAGCGGGGAGGAAGGCGUUAAGGUUAAUAACCUUGGCGAUUGACGUUACCCGCAGAAGAAGCACCGGCUAACUCCGUGCCAGCAGCCGCGGUAAUACGGAGGGUGCAAGCGUUAAUCGGAAUUACUGGGCGUAAAGCGCACGCAGGCGGUCUGUCAAGUCGGAUGUGAAAUCCCCGGGCUCAACCUGGGAACUGCAUUCGAAACUGGCAGGCUAGAGUCUUGUAGAGGGGGGUAGAAUUCCAGGUGUAGC